AUCCAGUUGACGAGUCCCAAAUAGGACGAAAUGCGCAUUGUCCUGGAU
rnacentral:hammerhead_ribozyme from 1 species